AUUGAACGCUGGCGGCAGGCCUAACACAUGCAAGUCGAGCGGAUGAAGGGAGCUUGCUCCUGGAUUCAGCGGCGGACGGGUGAGUAAUGCCUAGGAAUCUGCCUGGUAGUGGGGGAUAACGUCCGGAAACGGGCGCUAAUACCGCAUACGUCCUGAGGGAGAAAGUGGGGGAUCUUCGGACCUCACGCUAUCACAUGAGCCUAGGUCGGAUUAGCUAGUUGGUGGGGUAAAGGCCUACCAAGGCGACGAUCCGUAACUGGUCUGAGAGGAUGAUCAGUCACACUGGAACUGAGACACGGUCCAGACUCCUACGGGAGGCAGCAGUGGGGAAUAUUGGACAAUGGGCGAAAGCCUGAUCCAGCCAUGCCGCGUGUGUGAAGAAGGUCUUCGGAUUGUAAAGCACUUUAAGUUGGGAGGAAGGGCAGUAAGUUAAUACCUUGCUGUUUUGACGUUACCAACAGAAUAAGCACCGGCUAACUUCGUG
rnacentral:rRNA from 1 species